UAACUUUUCCCGCGUAAAUGGAAAAAGAAUUGCGCAUAGCGCCAUCCCAGCUAAUUGGAAAGCUGCGCGGUAAACCGUAGCGCAUGACGUAUCAUUCUGCUGACGAAAAUCGUGGUGACAGGACGCCCAUCAUCUCGCUCGAGAUGCUGAAUUUCAAUCGUGAAUAUUUUGUUGGAAUAUGGCGUCGUCACUUAACCUUUGUAAACAACUUCGUAACAUGAUUCGUGGGAACGUUUCGACGCAAAUUUAAGCAGG